CUACGGGAUGCACCAGUGGGGAAUAUUGCACAAUGGGGGAAACCCUGAUGCAGCGACGCCGCGUGAGUGAAGAAGUAUCUCGGUAUGUAAAGCUCUAUCAGCAGGGAAGAUAAUGACAGUACCUGACUAAGAAGCCCCGGCUAACUACGUGCCAGCAGCCGCGGUAAUACGUAGGGGGCAAGCGUUAUCCGGAUUUACGUGGGUGUAAAGGAAGCGCAGGUGGUUCGGCAAGUCAGAUGUGAAAGCCCGGGGCUCAACUCCGGGACUGCAUUUGAAACUGUCGGACUAGAGUGCAGGAGAGGUAAGUGGAAUUCCUAGUGUAGCGGUGAAAUGCGUAGAUAUUAGGAGGAACACCAGUGGCGAAGGCGACUUACUGGACUGUAACUGACACUGAGGCUCGAAAGCGUGGGGAGCAAACAGGAUUAGAUACCCUGGUAGUC
rnacentral:rRNA from 1 species